rnacentral:rRNA from 1 species
AUUGAACGCUGGCGGCAUGCCUUACACAUGCAAGUCGAACGGCAGCACGGGCUUCGGUCUGGUGGCGAGUGGCGAACGGGUGAGUAAUGUAUCGGAACGUACCAUUGAGUGGGGGAUAACGUAGCGAAAGUUACGCUAAUACCGCAUAUUCUCUCCGGAGGAAAGCAGGGGACCGCAAGGCCUUGCGCGCUUUGAGCGGCCGAGAUCCGAUUAGCUAGUUGGUGGGGUAAAAGCUCACCAAGGCGACGAUCUGUAGCGGGUCUGAGAGGAUGAUCCGCCACACUGGGACUGAGACACGGCCCAGACUCCUACGGGAGGCAGCAGCGGGGAAUAUUGGACAAUGGGGGGAACCCUGAUCCAGCCAUGCCGCGUGUGUGGAGAAGGCCUUAUGGUUGUAAAGCACUUUAAGCGAGGAGGAGGCUCUUUUGGUUAAUACCCAAGAUGAGUGGACGUUACUCGCAGAAUAAGCACCGGCUAACUCUGUGCCAGCAGCCGCAGUAA